UACAGGGGGUGCAAACGUUGCUCGGAAUUAUUGGGCGUAAAGCGCGCGUAGGCGGCCGCUUAAGUCGGAUGUGAAAGCCCCUGGCUCAACUGGGGAAGUGCACCCGAAACUGAGUGGCUUGAGUACUAAAGAGGGUCGCGGAAUUCCCGGUGUAGAGGUGAAAUGCGUAGAUAUCUGGAGGAACACCGGUGGCGAAGGCGGCAUCCUGGACCGGCAUUGACGCUGAGGCGCGAAAGCCAGGGGAGCAAACGGG
rnacentral:rRNA from 1 species